UUACGGCCAUAUCACGUUGAUACACCGGUUCCCGUAAAAUCACCGAAGUUAAGCAAAGUCGAGCCAGGUCAGUACUUCGAUGGGUGACCGCUUGGUAAUACUAGGUGGUGUA